rnacentral:rRNA from 1 species
AUGGCGGCCCAGGGUGGCGCUCCUCCCAAGGCGGCCACCGGUCCCGGUCUCUACUCCGAGAUCGGCAAGAAGGCCAGAGAUCUUCUGUACAAGGAUUUCACCACGGACCAGAAGCUUACCCUCACCACUUACGCCGCAAAUGGAACUGCAAUCACUGCUACAAGCACAACGAAAAAAGAAGCUAUCCUUAACGAGAUCCAGACCCAGUUUAAGUACAACAAUGUCAAAGUUGAUGUGAAAGCAAAUUCAGACUCUCAAGUGUUAAUCACAACCACAUCCGAGUUUCGGUACAUACCAGGCUUGAAGAGAAUUGUGACCAUUCCUUUGACAAACCACACUCCUGCUAAGGCUGAGUUGCAAUACUUCCAUGACUACGCUGGAAUCAGUGUGGGUUUUGGCCUACACUCAAAACCUCUGAUUAACGUUUCAGCUCUGGUUGGCAACAAAGCUCUUGCUCUUGGUGCUGAUGUUGCCUAUGAUAGUGCAACUGGGGAUUUCACCAAGUGCAAUUUUGGAGCGAGUUUCACCAAUGACGAUCUUUACGCUGCUCUGAUGCUGAACAACAAAGGGGAUAGCCUAUCUGUGUCUUACUACCAAAUGGUGAGCAACAGCCAGGCCGCUGCUGGAGGAGAGGUGAGCCACAGCCUGUCGAGCAAUGAGACCACCACCACCUUGGGGUUUCAGUAUUCCUUGGACCCUCUGACGACCACGAAGGUGCGCUACGACAACCAUGGCAUGGUCAGUGCCCUCAUCCAGCACGAGUUGAGGCCCAAGUCAUUGCUCACCAUCUCAAGCAAGUUCGACACCAAGGCCAUCGAGAAGAGCUCCAAGAUCGGGCUCUCGCUGCUCCUUAAGCCCUGA